rnacentral:rRNA from 1 species
UACGUAGGGUGCAAGCGUUAAUCGGAAUUACUGGGCGUAAAGCGUGCGCAGGCGGUUUUGUAAGUCUGUCGUGAAAUCCCCGGGCUUAACCUGGGAAUGGCGAUGGAGACUGCAAGGCUAGAGUUUGGCAGAGGGGGGUAGAAUUCCACGUGUAGCAGCGAAAUGCGUAGAGAUGUGGAGGAACACCGAUGGCGAAGGCAGCCCCCUGGGUCAAAACUGACGCUCAUGCACGAAAGCGUGGGGAGCAAACAGG